ensembl:lncRNA
UGCAUUGUCAGUAAGUGAACGCGUGGACAAGAAUGCAUGGACUAUUAUUUUCUUCCCAUCACUGGUUUAGCAGCCCCCAGGGAGCCCCUGUGUUGCUCUUUAAUAUCCUGACAUUGAGCACUAAUAUGCUCAACACUGCCUCCAACAGGCAAAUGUUGGAAAUACACUUUCAGAGCUGGAUAGGACUCAAGAUCAUCUAAUCUGAUCCUCUCAUUUUAUUUCCUCUCAAGGAAACCAAGGGCAAGAAAGUUUAGGCAAUUUGCUCACAUUCACACAGGCAAUUAGUAACAGAGCUGAGUUCAGGUCUGGUAUAGGCUUUUUAAUUUGAUUCUCCCCAAAUGAAGACUAAGAUAAAUAGCAUUUAUUGCAUACCUACUAUUUACCAGAUACUGUGCAAAGGGCUUUACAUAUAUUACUUUACUAAAUCCUCACCAUAAACUUUAAGUCAGUUUUAACCAUUUUAUAGAAGAGGGAAUGGAGGGCCAGGAAAGUUAAGUAACAUGCUCAAAGUCACACAGCUACUAAAUAGAGCCAUAAUCUGAACCUUUGUCUAAUUUUGAAGCCCUUGAUUUUUCCACUUCAUGAGGCUGCUCCCCUUAUAUUUAUUUAGCCAAGUGACCACCAUCUUGGAUUUUACUAAUAUUCUUACAAAGGGUCUUUGAUGCCACUUCCUCUGACUUUUAAGAAAAGGAAAUCCUUGCAUUAUUUUUGCCAUAUACUCCAGGGUACCCUCAGUCUCAUCAUCAUGGGGAAUAAGAAACAUCCUGACAUCUCUUUCCUUUUCUUUCUUUUUAAAUUUGAUAGGUGAGGGAGAGGGUCCCCAACAGAAUGAGAGAGGGAAGAUAAGAACCAGAAUAUAAACCCAAUACCCCCACCCCACUCUUUUGGGAACAUCCCAACAUUAGAAGAGUGGAUAUUCCAAAGUCAUUUUUUUCAGGCUGGAGCAGGCAGUGUAGCCAGGAUUGAGGAAGGAGAAGCCACAGAAUAAACAUGGUACAUGUUCCCAGAGCAUCAAUUUCACUCCAGAAUUUGGGAAGAAAGGGUUAUAUUAUUAGUGUAUUCAAACCAGUAUGGAUAGUACAAAUGCAGGCAUCCUAUAAAUUUGUAGGUUAAAACCAGCAGGUUGAAGACUGAUUUAGGCCACUCCUUCCAGACUUCCAGGGAUACAAACACCUUCACAGUUCCCUGCAGGAGUACGACAGUGGAAAUAUUUGGGGAAUGAAGCUAGAAGGCAGGAGAUACAUUCAUUUUACUUAUCCCCCUGGUUUCUUUUCCCCACUGCUUACCUGCCCCACAUCCCCAGUGGGUGGGAAGGCAUCAGAGGACAGUUGGCUACAAUCCCAUCUUUCUUUGCUACUUUGGGGAAUUUAGAAGGAAAUCAGUACCUGGCAACCUGGUAUUUUUAGCUGCCAGGCCAAAACUCCAGACAUAAACCCCUUCCCUUUAACUGAAUGAUGUUUAUAUAUAAAGGAAUAGAUCUCCCCAAGAAACAACCCCAGAACACUGGUUCCCUUCCAGUGUGGGGGCUGCUUGGGCAGCAGUGACAACGGUGCAUUAGAUGCAACGGACACUAUGAUUCCUGCAAAAAUGUCAGCCAACUAAGUGCUCCUUUACCAGCUGCGGAGGCCUAGACUCACACCAUGGUCCCACAGAUUCAAGGUUUAGAAUCUAUGUGAAUCUAUUCUGGUUAACACACAGGCUCCUCCUUCCAAUCAUUCACACACACACACACACACACACACACAUGCAUGCAUACAUACACAGGUGCACAUGCACAAGCACACACAUCUAAUUAUUCCAACCUUGAAUACUCCCCAGGCCCAUGGGGAUGCCCAGGUACCCUAAGCAAGUCACUGUGACACUGAGGGGGUCAUUACCUGGGGCUCCGAGCAGCUGAAACCCAUGCUGGUGGUCUCUAGACUGUUGUUCUGAGAAAUCAUAAACACCAAAUCCU